rnacentral:lncRNA from 1 species
GGAACUGGAAAGAGCUUUUCUAAGACUUGCAGUUUUUUACUUUGUGGUCCAAAACAGUAAAAGUGCCUAGUAUAGAUUAGAAAGCUGACUGAAAUGAGACCUGAAGUUUUCAUCUUGCAAGUGGGGUCAUUACAAUGAUCUAACUGCCUUACCUGCUUUUGAACUGGUUGAGCCUCUUGUGGGACCGAAAACAAAAGAAGGGUGUUGAAAUGCAAAUAGAUAACUCUGGGUCCCAGUCCCUGACUGCAAAAGGAAGCCAAAACUGACAACAACGUCUCCUUCUCUACGGAGGUUUGUAGAAAGGCUGUACAAAAAUCUCACAAGAUGUAUUUCUUCUCGUGGACUGGAGUCCCAAGGUGCUUAAGGGCUCUUCAAUUUGUUAAUGGAAAGAAACACCAUUUACACCGGAUGGCUACAAAGCAACCUUAUUCUGAGAGAGAGGAUCUCAUUCUGUCACCCAGGCUGGAGUGCAUGAUCAUAGCUCACUGCAGCCUCGACCUCCUGGGCUCAAGUGAUCCUCCUGCUCUAGCCUCUCAAGUAGCUAGGACUACAGAUCUUUUCUCAGAAUAGCAGUCUGUAGGCUGUCACCUAAAGUGUCCUGUUUUCAGUGCUGCACCUGCUCUGAGCUUCAGCUUUUUACGAAGACGUCAUGGUGUGCUAUCUGUACUGGGAAACUUUCCCCAGCAUCAGCCAGCUCCUGAAGAUAAUAUUGUCUGCUAGAGAUUGUCAUGUAUGUGGAUUGAAUCUCUUUAUCUUCAUGGUCCUCUUUCUGUGCCCCCAGCCCGGUUGACAAUGUGUGCCUUCACUCACCCAAUUAGAAACCUUGGAGGUAUCCUGUACUCUUCUGUCACUUACCCUCAGCCUAAAGCCAAUCAGUCACCAAAGUAUUGUCUGUCAUUAUCAUUAUCAUCAUCAUCAUCAUCAUCACUAUCACCAUUGAUGGAGUGAGAACCUUGUGCAGUUGAGCAUGAACCCCAAUUUCAUUUGCAAAAUGACCCAGACAGCAGAUUUCAUCUCAUAUAAAAUAAGCAAGGUGAGGUUUUGAUGACGUUACAGACAUGGCUAAGAAGAGGUUGAGAACCAGCAUUCAGCCCACCUGACUCCAAAGCUCAUGCCCCGAACCUCAGAAACUUCUCCAGUGAGUUCCUUUUUUUUAAUGGCAGGAUCACACCAUUAGUUUGGACUGGAUCCAACCUGGAUUGUUGCAACAGCCUUUGAUCUGAUCUGUCAAGCCCUGUGCCUUCUGUGCAACCCAUUCUCUACCCUGGCACGAGCAUUACUAAAAUACCAAUCUGGUCCUAUGACUCCUCUGCAUAAAAACCACGGCUGGGGCUGGUCAAGUGCAACAGUGUUUACAACUAAUUGAUCACAACCAGUUACAGAUAUCUUUGUUCCUUCUUUAGCCA